rnacentral:rRNA from 1 species
CCAAUAGCGUAUAUUAAAGUUGUUGCAGUUAAAAAGCUCGUAGUUGAAUUUCGGGAUCAAUAUGUUGGUCGUGCCUUGGUACGUACUAAUUUAUUGGUUUCUUCCUUCUGACAAACCAUGAUGUCAUUAAUUUGGUGUCAUGGGGAAUCAGGACUGUUACUUUGAAAAAAUUAGAGUGUUUAAAGCAGGCUCACGCUUGAAUACAUUAGCAUGGAAUAAUGAAAUAGGACGUUUGAUUCUAUUUUGUUGGUUUCUAGGAUCGACGUAAUGAUUAAUAGGGAUAGUUGGGGGCAUUAGUAUUCAAUUGUCAGAGGUGAAAUUCUUGGAUUUAUUGAAGACUAACUACUGCGAAAGCAUUUGCCAAGGAUGUUUUCAUUAAUCAAGAACGAAAGUUAGGGGAUCGAAGACGAUCAGAUACCGUCGUAGUCUUAACCAUAAACUAUGCCGACUAGGGAUCGGAUGAUGUUAAUUUUUUAAUGACUCAUUCGGCGCCUUACG